GACAGAGGAGGCAAGCGUUGUCCGGACUUACUGGGCGUAAAGCGUCCGCAGGUGGUCGUGCGAGUGCCGUGUGAAAGCGCUCGGCUUAACUGAGCGAGGCCAUGGCAGACUGCUCGACUCGAGACCGGGAGAGGUCGGUGGAAUUGCCGGUGUAGUGGUGAAAUGCGUAGAGAUCGGCAGGAACACCCAAGGGGAAGCCAGCUGACUGGCCCGGUACUGACACUCAGGGACGACAGCGUGGGGAGCGAACCGG
rnacentral:rRNA from 1 species